GUCGGGCGCGUCACAUGAUCGCAACGGACCUAUAAGAGGAGGCAGCAACGAGGCGCCCAUUGUUAAAUUGGCGGCAGUACACUGCUGGUGUGUGUUUGUCGACGGACAGCAUGAAUUGGAGGUCUGUUAUGGCGACUAAACUUAGAGCAAACCAGAAUUGCAAAGGGAGAGAAAGAACACGUGAUGAAUCGUAAGUUGCGCAUAUCCACUUCAUUGUUGGCUGCAUCAACACUGAUCGCUGGAUUUUGGCGCGGCAUUGCAAGCAGCUGGACUGGACGACGCUUGAAAAGACUGCAGAUCGUGAAUGGUGGAGAGUGUCGCGCGUGCACAUCAUCAACCCUCAUAAAAUUUUGGGAUGGGCCCCCUUCCGAUUACGAUGAUUGUGGAGGUGCCCACAAUUGUGAGUUCCCGCUUUCUGCACAGAGAAUUGGCCGGCGCUCUUCCCCCAUGAGCCGGACCGCACCGCGUGCAGAUAGAGCAGCUCCGCUGUGUGCGGGGGAGAAUGGGCCGAGGCUUGGCUGCCCAGAGUACGGCACGCAGGUGCAAUACCCUUCUCACAACGUUCUCCUUGGCAGCCAGCAGAAUAUUCUUCGGAAGCAGAAACCGGCCCAGAUAUAUAACAAAAAGCACACUUUUUUUUACGUGGCGAGUUCAUAGCAAGCGAUGUCAGCGCACGUGUUUCCAUUGGUUUUAUCUGUAAGCGAGUUUAAUCGUGAGCGGGUUGCUGUAGUUUGUGCUUCCGCAGAUUUCUUACGGCCGCUUGAACUCCUGCCCAGACGGGAGCCAGGGUUGGUGACCCGCGGAUGAAUGCCGUGCGUGUGCACCGUUUGUACCCUGAGCUUAUCAGAGCGCAGGA